rnacentral:misc_RNA from 1 species
CACUCAUUUACACGGUUGCAAAUUGCAAUUACAGUAACAGGCAGCAGGUAGAGAGGUAGGUAGCUAGUGAGUACUGACCACUCCACUGGCAAUCGGGCACGUUGUCUUCGCUCGCUGUACGCACCGGCCGGCAGGUCACAGGUGCAGUGCAGGGCGCAUUUGGCACGCGAGCGCGCGCGUCUCGGCUAGUUGGGCUUGAGAUCCUGGAACAUGGACUCCCACCGCAUCUCCUCGCCGUCGCCGCUGUGCUUCACAACCACCUCCUCCUCGUCGCUUACUUCCCCAUCCUCGUAUUCGUCGCAGCUGCAGACGUCCGUGCUCUCGAGGCAGGCGGCUAUGGACCCAGCGGGCGCGGGCAGCGUCUUGACCGCCGCGCCGUCGCCCCUCCACUUAUCGGCGCAGCUGUUGGUGAGCACGACGGGCUUGCUGAUGCGCGUCAACAUCGGCAGCGCUCGCGGCUUCCCGCCACGGAUCGCCACGGGCGACGCGAUCUUGCUCCAGCUGUGCGCGACCCUCCCGCCACGGUGCCGCAGCAGAGGCAGGCGCGGCGUGGCGAGGACGGCCGCCGCCGCCCUGGCCCGGUCCCGGUCCCGGUCCUGGCCGCGUGACACCGAGGCGCGGAGGCGGCCGAGCGCCGAGCUUGCGGACCGGUGCACGGCCGCGGCGAGCAGCCUGGUGGCACGCCACGGCAGGACGGUGAUGGCGGCGGCCCUGCCGUGGGAGGACGUCUCCUUCCUUGCGAGCUUGAGGAUCUCGAGGCGGUGCUUGGCGACGGCAACGCCCAUGCUGAGGAGGAAGUCGUGGUCCAGGUGGCGCACGUCUGUGGCGCCGAGCUCGUUGCGCGCGAAGAGCAGCGCGUACUCGAACGCCACGUCCGGGUGCAGCCCCGCCCUGCAGAGCCACGCGUACCAGUCCAUUCGCUCGUCCGCCUCGUCGGAGCGUGCGCGGCGAGCGGCGACGACGGCGGCGGCAGUAAGUGAGGCUGCCCUCGGUGUGGUUAGCCGUGUCUCGUGCUCCCGUGGCGCUGGACGUGCGGGCGCGCGCGUGCUCUGGUGUGUAGCGGCACUGGCCGUGGCCGAUGGGCGGGUAGCGUCACGUGAACCCGAUUAUAAAAAACGGGCGAGAGAGGGGCGGUGGCGUCUGUUGGCUGGAUGGUGGUGGUCGUGCCACUGGUGCUGGUGCGCCGUGCACGGAUCGGUGGGCCGCCCACCCACAUACGGAGUAACAGUGCUGUUUCAUGCGCAAACGAUUUGUCCAGAGAAACGGUCGUUAUUCUUGUUCCUCAACUUUCAGGUUCUGCAGUUCUGCUGUUGUGGGGUUUAACCGCCGCCAUUUUUUGCCGGCCACAAACAGUCAAAAAUAAACAUUAUGC